UUGGGAAUCUUGCACAAUGGGGGAAACCCUGAUGCAGCGACGCCGCGUGGAGGAUGACGGGUCUAGGCCUGUAAACUCCUUUUAUGGGGAAAGACUUAGGACGGUACCCCAUGAAUAAGGACCGGCUAACUACGUGCCAGCAGCCGCGGUAAGACGUAGGGUCCAAGCGUUGUCCGGAUCUACUGGGCGUAAAGAGCGCGUAGGCGGUCUGUUAAGUGAGAAGUGAAAUCUCCAGGGCUCAACCCGGAAAUGGCUUUUCAUACUGAUAGACUGGAGGGAUGCAGAGGUAUGUGGAAUUCCUGGUGUAGCGGUGAAAUGCGUUGAUAUCAGGAGGAACACCCAUGGCGAAGGCAGCAUACUGGGCAUCAUCUGACGCUGAGGCGCGAAAGCGUGGGUAGCAAACAG
rnacentral:rRNA from 1 species